CAGAGCCCUGGUGAAGCUACAGAGAUUAAUUACAUCAGGAAAAAUGCCAGAGACAAGACGCAAAAAGUUUCGUUUUGUGCUCUAACACGACUGGGGAGGAUCUGUUUAGAAUAUCAAGAUUUUUUUUUUUUAAGUAAAAUAAAAAACACCAGAUGGCUUCAAAGUACGCCAGUGUUGGGCCAGUUCUCGUGACCUUCCUCGGGAGACCGAGGCCCGGAGCGCAGUGGGGAGGGGAGGAGACGGCCGGGAACCAGGGCGGAGGAACUCAAGUCUCAGUGACUCACAGCUGGGCCCCAUUCGGGCUCUAGGCGGGUGGGCGGAGAAGCCCCUGGCUUGUGCAGGCCAGUGCGCUGAGGACAGGUCCGCCAGCGCUGCUCACAGGUCCGCCAGGGCUGCUCCGGGAGGGGGUGGUUCCCUGGGUCGCUCCUGCUUGGCUCACGACCUGGGGGGAAUCCUCAUCUUGAAGCUCCGGCUCUCCAGGAAAUCCCGGGUUCGAAUUCUGCCACUGCCAGAAUUUGUCAAUUCCGGCUGCCCUGUUUUGGCAAAGUCGCUUUCCACCUCGGAGGGGGCCUCAGUUUUCUCAUUUAUCAAUCAGGCUCUAGAGUUCUCUCCUUACAGAGAGGGGACCAGGCUUGAACACCGACAGUGUGCAGCGAUUCUGGUGCCCUCGGAGAAGCCCGGCAAACAGAAGGGCGCACAGGGGAACACGUGCGUCACGCCCGCCAUUGUGCUCUGCGUCUUAAUCCUCACCAGGACCAAGCAGGUAGGUUCCAUUGUCAUCCCAUUUUACAGACUGGGAAACUGAAGCACAAAGCGAUUCAGUCCCCUGUCCAAGGUCCCACGCCUAGACCGAGCCUGAGUCUGGGUCUGAACUCAGACGGUCUCCACCCCCCGGUCCAUCUUAAAGGACCCGACACCCAGGCGUUACAGACCGAACUUGAGCCUGGGAGCCGCCCCUCGCCCAGUUCCCUGACUCCUGGGGGCCCAGUCCCCACCGUUGUCACGACAACCGGGGACCAAUGGGGAGCAGGCAGGAGGGAGGAGGCCCCGCCCUGGCCCCGCCUCUGGCGGAGGGCUCCGAGCUAUAAGGUCCUGAGGCCGAGCGGCGGGAGUCCAGGCCCGCGGAGCGCCAGGCGCGCACGGAAUUCCGAGUGUCCAGAGCGCGCAGAGUCCCAGAGCCGCGAAGGGCGCAAGCAGCAGCCACGAUGUGCGAAGGGUCGAUUCCAUGUUGCCACCUCUUUGCUGAAAGAGCUCUCAGCGAGGCUUGGGGGGAAAGGCAGCAUGGACCGCCGAGCCUCGAGGCAAAGCUGGGAGAAGGAGUCCGGGACGAGGAGUGGGGCUGGGCUCCGGCGUCCUGAACACCGCGGCGCCUCGGCGCUGUCCCGGGAGACUGCUGGGCCAUGGCGAGGGCUGCUGCGGCCCUGCGCGCACAUCUGCAAUUCCUUACUCUCCUGGCUGGGCCGCCUCCGCUGGCUGGGGAGAGGGCCGGGAACUUGUGCUGGGACAAAAGGUCACUGUGCCUUUUUUAUUUUUUUUCCUUGAGUAGGAUUCAGUUACCCAUUCCAGCCUCCUGUGGCUGGAGGACCUGGUGGAACUUUUGAAGCCAUGAAAGGCCUCUGUCUGACUUCGCCGAGGGCUGUGGGGCGGGAUGUGCCAGCGGUGAGCCCUGGGCCAAGAUCUGUACAGGCCUUGUUUCUGAGGCCAACGGCUCCUGAAAGUGUAAAAGAACCACUGACCAAGGAGCCCACAGCUCGCUUUGGGAUGCAGACUCCCCCAGGCCAAGCGGGCAUCAAUUUAAAUUCCUGAACUUUCAGCAAAAAUCUCUGGGCUACAGGGCAUCGUUAACAAUGUAUAGGGCUGCCUUGGAUGUUUCCCGAGAGAGAGAGAGAGAGAGAAGAAGAAGCAAAGGUGGCAGUUUUGCCAGAAGCCCUUUGGGUUCUAAACCCUUCAGUGUGGCAUUCAAGGCCCCUGGCCAACUGGUGGCCUUAAGUGGGCAUCAAUUUAAAUUCCUGAACUUUCAGCAAAAAUCUCUGGGCUCCAGGGCAUCGUUAACAAUGUAUAGGCCUGCCUGUGGAUGUUUCCCGCAAGAGAGAGAGAGAGAGAGAGAGAGAGAGAAGAAGCAAAGGUGGCAGUUUUGCCAGAAGACCUUUGGGUUCUAAACCCUUCAGUGUGGCAUUCAAGGCCCUUGGCCAACUGGUGGCCUUAGAGCCAGACUAGUGCACUGACCAAGACCCUUGCUCUGCCUCUCCAGCACUGGCAAUUUCCCUCCUUUCUCCUCUCAGGUGCCCUUCUGGGCCUGCCUCUCCCCCAGCCUGCCUUCCUGCUUCCAACUUGCAUCUAGCUUUCUCUGUUGUCUCUCUGAGCCCAUCUCUGCAAAGAGAGAUGGGCUCAGACUCUCCAAAUCUGGGGUCCUGUUCUGCUCUCUUAAAGGGCUGCAUAUGUCUUGUCCCCUAAGGAAAGGAUGAGCUUUGGCCCUGUGACUACCUAUAUCCUUACAUCAAGCCCCCCCACCCCAGCCUAUCCCACCCACCUUGCAGCCCUUGGUUAAGUCAAGGAGUGAUAUCCAACGUGGGAAAGUUAUUUCUUUUCACCUGGGUGCUAAUGUGUCAUUUACAGAGCCCCUCCCCCCCCUGACACUGGCUGAGCACCCCUUGCAUGGAGAAGGCCAUCCCAAGUCAAACCUGACAAUAGCUGCUGUCGAGAAUUAAACAUGUUGUUCUCGUUUUUUGUUUGUUUGUUUGUUUCUGGAUAAUGGCCUGUGUGUGCAUGACAAGUGAUACUG
ensembl:lncRNA